UUGUAUAAAAGUUUAAACUCCAUAUGAUUACUAAAUAAAAUGUUAAUGUAAGAAAAACAGAAUUUAUUUUGAUUGCUCCGAUACGCAUCCGAAACAUAUCAUUUCUUAUCUUCAAAGUAUACUAAUUUUGAUUCAAAUGAUGUGUCUUACGAUGAUCUUGAUUGCAAGUAAAUAUUUUUAAAAUAUAUGACUUUAUUUUAAUAUUUAAAAAUUUAUUGAGCUUCAUGUAUACAUUGCUGAAAAACUGAAAUUAAGAAAUUGAGUUCUAUAAAUAUAUAUACCUCAAUGAUCAUCUA
rnacentral:lncRNA from 1 species